rnacentral:rRNA from 1 species
CCCUUAGAUGUUCUGGGCCGCACGCGCGCUACACUGACGAUGGCAACGAGUUUUUCCUUCGCCGAAAGGUGUGGGUAAUCUUUUGAAACAUCGUCGUGCUGGGGAUAGAUCAUUGCAAUUUUUGAUCUUGAACGAGGAAUUCCUAGUAAGCGCGAGUCAUCAGCUCGCGUUGAUUAUGUCCCUGCCCUUUGUACACACCGCCCGUCGCUACUACCGAUUGAAUGGUUUAGUGAGGACUCCUGAUUGGCGCCGCCGCCCCGGCAACGGAGCAGCGGACUGCCGAAAAGUUGUUCAAACUUGAUCAUUUAGAGGAAGUAAAAGUCGUAACA